GCAACACCUUACUCAACUUCCUACUCCACUCCACUUUGCUCCUUCCCAUUUGCAAGCCAAAAACGGCAAUCCCAUUUUCUUCAAUCCAAAUCAAUAAUAUGAAGAAAUAACAUUCAACAAUCCUCACUUAUUCUCAUUAUUAUCAAUGGCAAGUCACACUUGUUUCACACUAAUACCUUCUUCUUUAUCUUCUCCCAAAUUGCCAUUUCCCAAAAACACUAUCUUCCCAAAAUUAUCAAAACCCACUUUCAUGUUUGAUCGGAAAAGUUCCUUUCAAAAUGGCACCGCUGCUGUUCCUGCUGUAGGCGAGGAUUUUCCGAUUGAUUAUGCUAAUUGGCUGCCAAAACGAGACCCAAACGAUCGUAGAAGAGCGGGAAUUUUGCUUCAUCCUACCUCGUUUCCUGGACCUUAUGGUAUUGGUGACCUAGGCCCCGAAGCUUUUAAGUUCCUUGAUUGGCUUCAUCUUGCUGGUUGCUCCCUUUGGCAGGUUCUUCCACUUGUACCGCCUGGAAAGAGAGGCAAUGAAGAUGGAUCACCCUAUUCAGGACAGGAUGCAAAUUGUGGUAACACACUUCUGAUUUCUCUUGAAGA
rnacentral:misc_RNA from 1 species